UUGGGCACUCUAAGGUGACUGCCGGGCUAAAAAGUCGGAGGAAGGUGGGGAGUGACGUCAAAUCAUCAUGCCCCUUAUGACCUGGGCUACACACGUGCUACAAUGGGCGGUACAAAGGGUCGCGAACCCGCGAGGGGGAGCCAAUCCCAAAAAGCCGCUCUCAGUUCGGAUUGCAGGCUGCAACUCGCCUGCAUGAAGCCGGAAUCGCUAGUAAUCGCGGAUCAGCAUGCCGCGGUGAAUACGUUCCCGGGCCUU
rnacentral:rRNA from 1 species